CCCCGGCCUGAUAGCAUGACAGAGUCAAGCCAAGGCACAGCAGAGCUGCAGGAGAUCAGGGACGCUUUAGUUCAGCUGGGCACCAUCAUCAAUGCCCAUGCACCGCAAUUGAGGCGUUUGGAGCUGGAUAUGCAGCAACUGAACAUUACUGUUCAGGGGCUGUGUGCAUGACCUCCACCUGUUCCACCAACCUCAGAUCCUAGCAGUAGGGCCGAGCCCAGUGCCCGCGCUGCCCCUGCUCUGCCUCCCGUCGAUCCCACCAUCACCAUACCUCUAUCUGCCCCCCAACCAUUCUCUGGGGAACCUAGAGCCUGUCGGGGCUUUAUGCUUCAGUGCUCCCAGAUAUUUCUCCACCAAGCACGUCUCUUCCCCACCGAACCAGCGAGGGUGGGCUACAUCAUCUCUCGACUCUCGGGAUAAGCCUUGGAGUGGGCAGCCGCUUUCAUGGAUUGCCAGCUGCCCGAGGCAAACGACAGCCAGCUGUUCCUGCAUCGCGUAGGGUUGAUGUUUGACACAGGGCACACAGAGGACCAGGCCGCACAACGAGUCCUUACCAUCAACCAGGGGACCCGGUCUGUAGCCCAGUACGCCGUGGAGUUCCGCACCCUGGCGAUCCGAAGUGGCUGGGGGGACCAAGCCCUGCGUUCAGCCUUUUACCGCGGGUUACAGGAGGCCGUGAAGGAUGAAAUGGUCAACCGCGACUGGGGACAGUCGCUUGACGAGCUAAUCCACUUGGCCAUCCACCUUGAUGCUCGCAUUCAGGAACGUCGCCGUGACCGCCGGGAGACCCGGGCACCCAUGACGACCUUCCUGCCACGGCUAGCCACCCCCAUCCUCAAUCCAGCCCCGGCCCGGUUACCUGAAGAACCCAUGGAACUCGGCCGCCGCGAAGAACGCAGCCGCCGUCUCCAAAGACGCCUGUGCAUGUACUGUGGCACUUCCGGGCAUCAAGUACAACACUGCCCAGACCUACAGGGGAAAGACAGCACUCGUCAAGGGACCCAGGGCCACUGAUGAGUGGUAGCGCUAAGACCCCUGGACCCGCCAACCGUCUCUCCAUCGCCAUACAACUCCGUCACAUAGGCAAGAACCAUCCCAUUGCCUCCCUCAAUGCCUUGGUGGACUCCGGCGCGGCAGUCAACCUGAUGGACAUUACCCUGGCUAAACAGCUGGGGAUUCCAACCACCCCGGUGGCCAUUCCUCAGGCGGUCCAGGCAUUGGAUGGUCGCCCCUUGGGCUCUGGACAUCUGGAGCGGGUGACGGCUCCUCUCAUCAUGUCCUCUCGUGAUGACCACCAGGAGACAGCACCACCGCAUGACCCGGUGGUGCUGGGUUACCCCUGGCUUGCUGUCCAUGAACCUCAGUUUGCGUGGGCGGUUGGCUCCCUACCAAGCGUGAACAAGCGUGGGGCCCUGCCUGUGCCACAGCUGGUCACCUCCCAGCUCAACCACUGACACCACCCGGCGUUACCAUUGAGGAGGAAUUCGCCAGAACCUCAUUUCCCACCACCGUGUCUCCUGUUCGGUCGGCUGGCACCCCUCCAAGCGUGAACAUCUUGGCCCCGCCGGAAAAAACAGACCUGUCCACGGUCCCUACUUGUUACCAUGAUCUGGAGGAGGUCUUCAGCAAGAAGAAGGCCACCACUCUCCCUCCUCAUCGGCCGUACGACUGCGCCAUCGACCUCUUGUCUGGAACCUCUCCCCCUAGGGGGCGUCUCUACUCCCUUUCUGUCUCGGAGAGCCAGGCAAUGAAGGAUUACAUCAUAGAUGCGCUGCGCCUUGGGCUAAUUCGCCCUUCCACGUCUCCGGCUGCAGCACCCUUCUUCUUCGUGGGGAAAAAGGACGGUGGACUGAGGCCGUGCAUCGACUACCGGGGACUUAACAACAUCACCCGGAAGAAUAAGUACCCCUUGCCCCUCAUGUCGACCGCAUUCGAGCGUCUUCAGGGUGCCACAAUCUUCACUAAACUCGACCUCAGGAAUGCUUACCACCUGGUUCGCGUGCGGGCCGGAGAUGAGUGGAAGACCGCCUUUGCGAGUGUUGCAGAUGGCACUUCAAAAGCAUGCAGUAACAUUAGGCUAUUUGUUUAUUUUUAAUUCUUACUCACAAUUAGUUUAGUUAACAUGUUUUAUUGUAACUCAAAAUAUACAUGUUAAAAAUAUAUAUAAAUUGUGGGUGUGGUCAUACGCCAUUAGUUUCUGCCCCACCGAAAUGAAGGGGCACCGCACGCUACUGGUUUGGCAGUGGCCUAGAUGUUAUGACUUUAGGUGAAGAAGUCUGCUUUGUUGAAAUUGCCUUCUGACUCUUGAUGCCAAUGUACCCCUUAUUAUGGUUGUUUACCUUCCUCGCAACUCUGAUGCACUUUGAUUGAAUCCUUAGCCUCAGCCUGAUACUGUAUAUGUUGACAGGAUUUUUUUUUUCAGCUCAUGGCAUCAGUGAAGGUUGCUGUCCAGACCCAUGGCCUCUCUUUCCAGCUGUGCCACUACAUUGGAGGAUUCCAUGAGGGAAUCCCUCGUCUGAGAAUGGAACAGCUGCUUCAUGUUCUGCAAGAGAGUGAACACCUCAUCAGAAGGCCGGUGGUAGAGGACACAGGACUCGGUUUUUGUCAUGUCAGGCGGUGAUGGGUCUACCAGCUGCUCCACUCUCACAACCUCAGAAGCACUGCAGCUGCUGUUCUGGGUGUCCAGGAAAUCCACCAAGUGUGUAUCUGGACGAUGCAUCAUCCAGAUCUUGCUGGACCUCCAGUAUUGUUGCUGGUGUCCAGCUGCCCUGGGGACCGAUCUUCAGGCCCAGAAGAAGAUGGAUCAAGUUGUGGAGGAAGCUGAUGGCCUUUGCAUACUUUUCCAACCUGAAAUGACUGAGGGCACACACAACAUUGCGGGAUGACAUGAGGUCAAACCAGAGCAGAGCUUCAUAAUCUCCAAAAACAAUGACGUUGUAAGGUUGGACUCUGGUCUGCACCCCUCCUCCACCAUGUACCUCAGGGCGGCACUUGUUGACUUGCUGAAUGCAUGCAUUGCUGAACUCACCAUCAGCUUCUUAAAAUGGCUAGGCUCCAGGACACCUCUGGCCAGCUUAAGUUCCAUGCCUUCUUCGAAGGACACCAGUUCCUUUAAGGGGGCAACAGAGACCUCACUCGACGCCAGCUGCUCUUUUUCCACCACAUCCUGUGAUAUGGUGAUGAUGUGACCACGGAUCAUGGCACUCAUCAAUUUCUUGAUGAGAUGAGGAACGUCAGGCAUGGAAUUGAGGCGCUGGUUUGGCUCAACAGGAUGCUGGAUCCAUGGCUUGUCGUAGGUCACCCCAAAGGACUUCCACAUUGCUCUAUUGGGGCGCCCCAUGUCUGUGGUGUUGUUAAGCACAUGAAGCCCUACAGAUGUCGCCGCUUCAAUAAUGCUGACUAUGAUGGGCCGGUAAACUGCGCCAUGGUGGGAUUGCCGCUAUAGUGGUAAGCCACAACUUGUUUCCACCGUGUUGUAGCUCCAGCCAGCAUAAACACCAAUGCAUGCGUCGCUUGGCCUCUGUGCUCAGGCAGUGUGACAUUGCCAAAUAGCCACCCCGUUCCCAUAUAGAGCUCCAUGCCUGGAGUAAUGGACAUCUCAUCUAAGGAGAGCACACACUCUCUCUCCAUUUCAGUCAUACCACCUGCCAUCAGCCUCAGCAUCUCAAACACUUCCCCCAAAACUCCUGGCUCCAGCUUUACAUCUUGCAUCAUCCUUUGCAGCAUGCGGAUGUUAGGCAGUGGAAUAUGCAUUUGCUGGAGGUUUUUUUUGACCAGUGAUGCCAGCGGGAAAUUUCACCUGUAUGGCUUUUUUAAUUGUUUCCCUCCCCCACCGUAUUCCUCUCUUUUCCUGUCCAAGGGCUCUAAUUUGGUCUCUAUUAAACAUUUGUUUGAACUUCUUGUUGACACCUUGUGAGUUCCCUGGGUACACCAGCUGAUGGGUCUGUGUAUAUAUUGGGCAUUUGAUUGUCGUUUCAGAAACCGAAAUACAUUAAAA